UACGAAGGGGGCUAGCGUCGUUCGGAAUUACUGGGCGUAAAGGGCGCGUAGGCGGUGUGUCAAGUCAGGCGUGAAAGCCCCGGGCUCAACCUGGGAACCGCGCUUGAGACUGGCACGCUAGAGUUCGGGAGAGGAUGGUGGAAUUCCCAGUGUAGAGGUGAAAUUCGUAGAUAUUGGGAAGAACACCGAUGGCGAAGGCAGCCAUCUGGACCGACACUGACGCUGAGGCGCGAAAGCGUGGGGAGCAAACAGG
rnacentral:rRNA from 1 species